rnacentral:rRNA from 1 species
UACGGGGGGGGCAAGCGUUGUUCGGAAUUACUGGGCGUAAAGGGCUCGUAGGUGGCCAACUAAGUCAGACGUGAAAUCCCUCAGCUUAACUGGGGAACUGCGUCUGAUACUGGAUGGCUUGAGUUUGGGAGAGGGAUGCGGAAUUCCAGGUGUAGCGGUGAAAUGCGUAGAUAUCAGGAGGAACACCGGUGGCGAAGGCGGCUUUCUGGACAGAUACCGACGCUGAGGCACGAAAGCUAGGGGAGCAAACAGG